UAGGGAAUAUUAGUAAUGGGCGAAAGCCUGAACUAGCAACGCCGCGUGUGCGAAGGAGGCCUUCGGGUUGUAAAGCACUUUUUGAGAGGAUGAGGAAGGACGGUACUCUCAGAAUAAGUCUCGGCUAACUACGUGCCAGCAGCCGCGGUAACACGUAGGAGGCGAACGCUAUCCGGAUUUACUGGGCGUAAAGCGCGUGUAGGUGGUUUGGUAAGUAGGGCGUGAAAGCUCCAGGCUCAACUGGGAGAGGCCGUUCUAAACUGCCGAACUAGAGGAUGGUAGAGGGAGGUGGAAUUCCGGGUGUAGCGGUGGAAUGCGCAGAUAUCCGGAGGAACACCAGUGGCGAAAGCGGCCUCCUGGACCAUUCCUGACACUCAGACGCGAAAGCUAGGGUAGCAAACGG
rnacentral:rRNA from 1 species